rnacentral:rRNA from 1 species
UUAGGAAUCUUCCACAAUGGGCGCAAGCCUGAUGGAGCGACGCCGCGUGAGGGAUGAAGGUUCUCGGAUCGUAAACCUCUGAACUAGGGACGAAAGAGCUUUUAGCAGAUGACGGUACCUAGGUAAUAGCACCGGCUAACUCCGUGCCUG